AGUGAGUUGAAGUCUUAAUUACACAUUUUAGAAGAGAAUUGUAGAAAAACACCCUAAGACAUGGAUCAGAAGAUAUCACACAGAUGCAGUGACCUUCAAGCCCAGAACUCUGAAGGAACUCCAAGGACUGUGUGUGCUGCAAAGAAGAUGAAGAUGAGGAAGAAGGGGUCCCAAAGACCCCAAAUCCAAUUCCCAGAGGGAUGUGUCGAGGGGCAGAACCUGGGGUACACCAAUCUGGGAUUGGAUGGACCUUAUUAUGAAAUCAUAGAACCACUGUCUAGA